CACUCGCGCUCACCGACUUGUGGGGAACUCACACCUGACAAAGGACCUUUCUUAUGGGGAAAGUUCAGAAUUGUGGGGAACUCUCUCGUUCCCCACAAAUAUGGUCAUGGGGUUUUUUGAAUUCUACGUGUUCUACUGAUAAUAUUUAUUCGAUUUGUGGUCAUUUUUGAAAAAAUCCCCAUAAGUCCGUAAAAUUGACUCGCAGUAAUUUUCUCACUGCACCGUAAAACGAAUGUUUGAGGAUGCUGGGAAAUGUUCAUUCGGAACGCAGCGGAAUUUAAACUGGUCCCCAUAUGAUACCAAUUUAUUGCGGGCAAUGGCUGCUCCGAGAAUAUGUGGUAAGUUUUCGGGUUUUCACCACAAGAGCAAAUUAUACAACUUUAUUCUUGAAAAUGUUAGAGACUGAGACUUGGAGUCAAAGUCAACAGACACGCUUGCAUGGACAUGAAGGAUGUAAAGAACUAGAGUAUUAUAACUGAAAGCAUUUUGUCUGGAUUUGUGUAUGGAAACAGAAGGAUUUAGUAUUGGUAUCCUGAAUUUUUGUCAACUUCUAGCCAAGAUCCUGUACUUAAGCUGAAUGUGGAGGACAGAUGUACACACAGUACUAGUAUAGAGGGUAAGUAGACCAUAAAAAAAAACAAGAUGUGUUUGUGAAACACUAUGCGCCCGGCGGCAACAAAGUUUGGAAAAAGCUAUUUUUAGCAUUAAGGUCACAGUCAAGGUCACAAAGUCAUUG